CCAGUUUAUAAAACAGUGAAACUCAACAAGGCCUUAAAGCAGAGUGUGUCUGUUUGUGCGUUAGUGUUGUUAUUCAUGCAUUUAGCCCCUUCCUCUCUCUCUCUCUGUGCUCUUGUGUCUGCAGACGUUUUCAUGCCAUCAUCCGGUGUGGCCAUUCGGAACAGGCGUUAUCACUGCCGCUGUAGACAAGGUCGGACAAACAGCUACACGACGCGUUCAUCUGAAGGUACCGAGGCCUUAAGUCUCCAGGGAAGGAGUGUGAGACGACACACAAAGUGAUAAGGCGUGUGUGUGUGUGUGUGUGUGUGUGAGGGAAUAACAACAAGCAGGACAUGUGCAGGUUUGAUUUGUCCGUGAGGAUUCAUAGGUGGGUUUGUCCGUGUUUGUGUCUCGCUUUUUAAGAGGUUUGUGCCUCUGCAUAAAUACAUCUGUGAAUGUUUGUUUUCCUGAGAGUUUAAAUACGGAGGAGUGAGAGUCGCCGUACAGAGAGCUCCAGGACAGUUGUUUUAUCAGACGAGUGUUGGAUGGCUCAAUAAAUAAAUAAAAGUCACUGAGGGGAAGAUUCACGUAUCACAGAAGUGGAAAAAAUAAGGCAAAGCGUCACGGUUUACCUACAGAUUCAAGCUGUGGACGUGUUGGAAACAGGCGCUCUGAUUUGGACUCUGAUAAAAGGUGGUUAGGCAGGAAUCCGUUAAAGAAGCAUCUUUUUUUGUGGCGUAUAUACAAAAAGAUUUACCGGUCGACCUACGUGCCGACGGAAAGAACAAGAUCGUGGAUUCAAGCGUCCGAAAUGGUUUUCCUGACCCUGUGAAACCUCUGAAACCUGAUGGAGAGAUGGACCGUUGCCAUGCCUGCAUGUUAAUGAACUCCAUGUGAAGUCCUGAGUCGCUCAUUUAAGGGAACAUUCACAUGAAAACGAGGACUGACAUAUGAGUCGGAAAAAUCGAAGAUUUAUCUUUCUAUAAAAUUGGUCUGAAACUCAAGAGUCCUUUUAAAAUUCAAAGCCUCUUCUCUCCUCGCCUUUUUAUUCCAUCUUCUCUGCAUUCACUCAGGAGGGCCAGGCCGUCUCUUUUCAGUAAAUGCCUCUCUGAACAAGGUGCUCUGGGUUCACCUGCAGCCAUCGUGCAUGACCAGAAACCUGAACAAGGACUUCAGUGUUUCAAAGGAGGGUCAGAGGAUCCUCCUCGGACACUUUUAAUGAAACUGAGACAAAAUCAGGGAAACAGGGAUCUCACUUUUCUGGAUUGAAGACUGAUAUCUCACAUCUAACCUGAUUUACAGGGACUUUUUAUCUGUUAUUGUGAAGUAUGUUUUGUGUUUUAUAAGAAAAGGGAGAACGUCUUAGUUAGCCACACAGACUAAUUUGAGAACUUCUUUUUUUUGACACUAACAGUUCACGUUUUGCUCUCUCUUUAUCUCGUCCUGUGAAGCCAAAGCUCGGUUCAGCUCAGUCUGCGGUUCAGACCCCAUGUGGUCUAAAGUGUGUCCCGGAGCUCACUGGAAGGAUUAGGCAGGAAACACAAAUCUGUCUCCCUGUAGGACGGGGACAAAUACGAGCUCUGCUGCUUCAGUGAUCUAACAGACCACCUUCUGUUUUAUGUGCUGCAGAUGGAGCAACUGUGGAGUCGGACACACGCCGUCUCUGAACUU